rnacentral:rRNA from 1 species
UACGGGGGGGGCAAGCGUUGCUCGGAAUCACUGGGCGUAAAGCGCACGUAGGCGGCUUGCUAAGUCAGGGGUGAAAUCCUGGAGCUCAACUCCAGAACUGCCUUUGAUACUGGCGAGCUCGAGUCCGGGAGAGGUGAGUGGAACUGCGAGUGUAGAGGUGAAAUUCGUAGAUAUUCGCAAGAACACCAGUGGCGAAGGCGGCUCACUGGCCCGAUACUGACGCUGAGGCACGAAAGCGUGGGGAGCAAACAGGG